UGGGGAAUAUUGCGCAAUGGGGGAAACCCUGACGCAGCAACGCCGCGUGAGUGAUGAAGGCUUUCGGGUUGUAAAACUCUGUCGGAAGAGACGAAACCAUCCCGGUCUAAUACAUCGGGAUAUUGACGGUAUCUUCAAAGGAAGCACCGGCUAACUCCGUGCCAGCAGCCGCGGUAAUACGGAGGGUGCAAGCGUUGUUCGGAAUUACUGGGCGUAAAGAGCGCGUAGGCGGUUACUUAUGUCAGGUGUGAAAGCCCUCGGCCUAACCGAGGAAGUGCGCCUGAAACUGAGUAGCUUGAGUACGAGAGAGGAAGACGGAAUUCUCAGUGUAGAGGUGAAAUUCGUAGAUAUUGGGAAGAACACCGGUGGCGAAAGCGGUUUUCUGGAUCGAUACUGACGCUGAGGCGCGAAAGCGUGGGGAGCAAACAGG
rnacentral:rRNA from 1 species